rnacentral:rRNA from 1 species
CCUACGGGCGGCAGCAGUGGGGGAUAUUGCACAAUGGGGGAAACCCUGAUGCAGCGACGCCGCGUGGGCGAAGAAGUAUUUCGGUAUGUAAAGCCCUAUCAGCAGGGAAGAAAAAAUGACGGUACCUGAGUAAGAAGCCCCGGCUAACUACGUGCCAUCAGCCGCGGUCAUACGUAGGGGGCAAGCGUUAUCCGGAUUUACUGGGUUGAAAGGGAGCGUAGAAGGCAGUGCAAGUCUGGAGUGAAAGGUGGGGGCUCAACCCCCGAACUGCUGUGGAAACUGUACGGCUGGAGUGCAGGAGAGGUAGGGGGAAUUCCUGGUGUAGCGGUGAAAUGCGUAGAUAUUAGGAGGAACACCAGUGGCGAAGGCAGCUUACUGGACUGUAACUGACGUUGAUGCUCGAAAGCGUGGGGAGCAAACAGGAUUAGAUACCCGGGUAGUC